AGUGAACGCUGGUGGUAGGCCUAACACAUGCAAGUCGAACGGCAGCACAGUAAGAGCUUGCUCUUACGGGUGGCGAGUGGCGGACGGGUGAGGAAUACAUCGGAAUCUACUUUUUCGUGGGGGAUAACGUAGGGAAACUUACGCUAAUACCGCAUACGACCUACGGGUGAAAGCAGGGGAUCUUCGGACCUUGCGCGAUUGAAUGAGCCGAUGUCGGAUUAGCUAGUUGGCGGGGUAAAGGCCCACCAAGGCGACGAUCCGUAGCUGGUCUGAGAGGAUGAUCAGCCACACUGGAACUGAGACACGGUCCAGACUCCUACGGGAGGCAGCAGUGGGGAAUAUUGGACAAUGGGCGCAAGCCUGAUCCAGCCAUACCGCGUGGGUGAAGAAGGGCUUCGGGUUGUAAAGCCCUUUUGUUGGGAAAGAAAAGCAGCAGGUUAAUACCCCGCUGUUCUGACGGUACCCAAAGAAUAAGCACCGGCUAACUUCGUG
rnacentral:rRNA from 1 species